AAAACAAGCAUUCCAAAAUGUUGAGAAUUGAAGGAGUUGUGAUCCUUUCAACUUUGACUUCAAAUGUUGACUUUUGGUCAAACCUCUUGGAAUAAACUUGUAUACUUGGAAUUUUAUUGCAUUUAAAGGUACAUAUAUGGCCAUAUGAACUUAAAAUAAGGUGCCCUUUAAUUCCUUUUGAUUAAAUUUCUCAAAGUUUGAGGUGACUUGUUGAAGAUGGCAUGGAAAUAAAC
rnacentral:lncRNA from 1 species